UGCCAGCCGCCGCGGUAAUACGGAGGGUGCAAGCGUUAUCCGGAAUCACUGGGUUUAAAGGGUGCGUAGGCGGCUAAAUAAGUCAGAAGUGAAAGCCCACAGCUUAACUGUGGAAUUGCUUUUGAUACUGUAUAGCUUGAAUUGGGUUGAGGUUAGCGGAAUGUGGCAUGUAGCGGUGAAAUGCAUAGAUAUGCCAUAGAACACCAAUUGCGAAGGCAGCUAACUGGACCUUGAUUGACGCUGAGGCACGAAAGCGUGGGGAGCGAACAGGAUUAGAUA
rnacentral:rRNA from 1 species